GCUUUUUUCCACUCCGCUAAACUGUCAUCUCAAACAAAAACAAAUGGAUCAUACAACUGCUAUGAAUACAUUCGACUCGUUUGCUUCCAUCAAUCGGUAAGUGAGAAAGAUGAUUUCUCCCAUCACCACAGUACGGAUUUCCACUUCUAUCACAGCAGCCAACAACAUCCGUUUUCCUGCAGCAGUAACCUCCAACCCCUGUUGACAAUGCCGGGGGACAGCAUCAACAGCAGCAGCAGCAGCAAUUUGACCAUGGUAUGGUAUUGCGAAGAACUUUCCCCAUUAGAGGUUCCGUGCUUCGCGCACAUUCAAAAAUCCUCUUCAGACACGAAAACUCAACGACAAGGAGGUAUUUAUCAACUUGCUCAGCUGAAUUACCACCCGGAGGAACCCGAAUGCACUUAUUCCGUUGUAUAGUAGAAUGAAAAUAGGCGAGGUAAGCGAACGUAAUCGCAUGAUAUUUUAAUGUUCGCAUUUUUAUCCGGAUCAUACAACUGCUAUGAAUACAUCCUCAAUCAAUCGGCGAGUGAGAAACAUGAUUUCCCUCAUCACCACAUUGCUUAUUUCCACUUCUGUCUCACCAGCCAACAGCAUCAGCUUUCCCGCAGCAGUAUCCUUUAAGUCCAGGGUGCUAUUCCGGGGAACAGCAUCAACAGAAACAGCAGCAGGACCUGGCCAUCGAUAGUAUUUCGAGCAAAUUUCCCCAUCGGAGAUCUCGUGCUUCACGCACAUUGAAGAAUCCUCCUCAGCCACAUAUCUGUGUCAUCAAGGGCAAGGAGGUAUUCAUCAAUGUACUCAGUCGGAUUUGAAUCGUCAAUCCAGACAACCCGGAUGCACCGAUUCCAUUAUAUACCUUAUUUUUAUUAUACAAGGAUUUUGACGUAGGACUACGUCUUUCAUUUCUAUACAGGGGUGUAAAAUCAAAGUUUCGAAAACGAAAGCGUUACGCCGGAGACCGAGAUUUUGAGUGUUAAUAGCUCCUAAACAACUGAACGAAAUGGGUUGAUAAACACUUCAUUCGAAAGAUAAAAUGUCUACGCGUUCUAUACUUGUUACUUUCUGAUCCAAAAACUUGUUUCAAUAGUCUUAAAUUUGCUUUCAAAACAGGCUAUUGAAAUCACCAAUCGGUAUAUAAGCGAGCUCGGAAAUCCACUCAGUUCUAAUUGAACAACGAUUGGAGCAUGUUGUCGCUGUUGUGGUGAAGCUCUUCAUUUAUCAUGAAAGCGCGGAUGAACGGUGUCACCAAGAGCCUGUUUGUGCACCUUAGGCCAGAAGGGAAUCCAUCAGGAGGAGAGUGAUGCCACAAACGGUUCCCCGGGAAGAUCUCGAAGCAGCCGCUACACACACACAUACACGCGCGGAAUUCUUUCCGUUUGGAUGCCAUUCAACAUCGAAAAAGAUCCGGAAAAUAAUCUGCCAGUUCCUCUGGGAAUUUAAAAAUACAUUCAUGUGAAAGAGUUUAUUUGAAUGUUUUCUAUCCAUGUAACACUAUGACCAUAUAUAUUUGGUUUUGUGAUUUUUCAAUCAAUCGCAAUUAACAGGAUAGCUUCUGAAGAUUAUUCUUCUCCAUCAGUAGGAUAUUUCCGUAUCCAAUAUUGUAUGCGCCCGCAAUCGAUUAUUGCUCAGUCGCCGAAAGUUCCGAGCUCAGAGAGUUCAUUCCCCUCUAGUUUGCCUUCCAAAUUGCCAUCGUAAACCACGCCUUCUCUCGAUUCAAUCACGCACAAAAAGCAUACUUAGGCGAUAUUCUGGUGGUGAGACGCAUUCAUUUUUCGUGAGGACAUCGACAAGACAACAUCGUUGCUGAGGGUGCUGGACGGCGAAGGAUCGAGAUCUGCCCUGAAAUGCAAGCAGUUUAUUUGAAUGUUUUCUAUCCAUGUAACACUGUGACCAAAUAUGUUUCAAUCAAGUGCUAUUAACAGAUGGUUAUCGAGUUAGCAUUAACCACUGGUGGGCUUCCAGUAUCGAGGAAAAUGUGGAAAUAUCUAAUCGUUACUGAAAAUAAUCUGCCAGUUCCUCUGGGAAUUUAAAAUUACAUUCAUGUGAAAGAUUUUAUUUUAAUGUUUUCUAUCCAUGUAACACUGUGACCAAAUACAUUAGGUUUUGUGAUUUUUCAAUCAAUCGCAAUUAACAGGAUAGCUUCUGAAGAUUAUUCUUCCCCAUCAGUAGGAUAUUUCUGUAUCCAAUAUUGGAUGCAUAAAACCUUGUGCCUCCAACGUAACGCUCUCGUUUUCGAAGUUCUCCAAAUAUUCAUUCAUUCAGAAUGAAUUCAGAUUCAACUUCAAACAAAUGAUCUCUAAAUCAACGAUAGUCCUACGCCACCCUUGCGGUUAUACCAUAGAUAUAACCCACUUCCUGUUUUUAUUAUUUUUUUUCAAUAAAAUGAUUAAAAUCGAUCAAUGUAUUUCCUUUUCAUUUUCAAUAACAAACCAAUACAAACAAGCAGCAAGCUGUGCUGGAAGCACCCACAUUCCGUUUUGCCUGCCAAGAUCGGGUCGAUGAAAUGUCAACAAUCGACCUCAAAUGCUGCCACCUUGCAAUCGAGUUAUCGACCUUUCAUAUGCAUUCAUCGAACAACUUGACGCCACUUUUUCGCCAACAUGUGCAAGGCGUCGACCUGCUUGCAGCGCUGCUUCCAGCACUGCUUGCCGCUUGUUUGUAUUGGUUUGUUAUUGAAAAUGAAAAGGAAAUACAUUGAUCGAUUUUAAUCAUUUUAUUGAAGAAAAAUAAUAAAAAACCAUGUAUAAUAAAAAUAAGGUAUAUAAUGGAAUCGGUGCAUCCGGGUUGUC